CCAAGUAAGAUGGUGAGAAUGAGGCAAGAAAGGAGAGGAAAGAUGAAUUCUUGAAAUUCUUCGAUGCCUGUCUUUGAUCUUGGUUCUGCAGCUUAUGCUUGGGCUUAUUUAACCAUAAAAUUGUUUGAUUUCAAAGGACCUCUCUGAUGUGGUUUUAGUAGGUGCAGGCAUUGACUCAGUAUCAAAUGAACACAAGUUGGAGUUUUAUAGUUUAUGCAUGUUCACUCUAAAGGUUUUAAUCUGGAUGUGGUACAGAAACUUGUUUCAGAUCUAGAGAGAAAGUAUAAUGCUGAAGCUACUUCACUGGAGAUCGAGUUCUACUUUGUGGAGUACUGAUGAGAAAACUUUUGAGACAUGGAUAUGCCCACUUGUGCAUGCUCUAAUUGGAUAUUGCAAUGAUACUAUUAUAAUGGUAAUUUUAAACUGUGAAGUUGUUCUUCUUGGAGGAUCAGUUUGGGAGAUCUCCUUUCUGGUGCAAGACAUAUUUCUGAUGCAAUUAUUUGUUGUAAUUUCAUUCUUUUCUUUUGUAGAUUUUAAUUAUUUUUAAUUUAGAAUUGUAAAUAUGUAAUUUCAUUUAUUGUUUUUUACAAAUACUGUAUUAAUUUCAUAAUGGUUGUGUGAGAAUUGCAUGGUGCAAAAUAAUAUAGUUUUAAAAUUA